GAUGAACGCUGGCGGCGUGCCUAAUACAUGCAAGUCGAGCGAACGGACGAGAAGCUUGCUUCUCUGAUGUUAGCGGCGGACGGGUGAGUAACACGUGGAUAACCUACCUAUAAGACUGGGAUAACUUCGGGAAACCGGAGCUAAUAACGGAUGAUAUUUUGAACCGCAUGGUUCAAAAGUGAAAGACGGUCUUGCUGUCACUUAUAGAUGGAUCCGCGCUGCAUUAGCUAGUUGGUAAGGUAACGGCUUACCAAGGCAACGAUGCAUAGCCGACCUGAGAGGGUGAUCGGCGACACUGGAACUGAGACACGGUCCAGACUCCUACGGGAGGCAGCAGUAGGGAAUCUUCCGCAAUGGGCGAAAGCCUGACGGAGCAACGCCGCGUGAGUGAUGAAGGUCUUCGGAUCGUAAAACUCUGUUAUUAGGGAAGAACAUAUGUGUAAGUAACUGUGCACAUCUUGACGGUACCUAAUCAGAAAGCCACGGCUAACUACGUG
rnacentral:rRNA from 1 species